UGCCAGCCGCCGCGGUAAUACGAAGGGACCUAGCGUAGUUCGGAAUUACUGGGCUUAAAGAGUUCGUAGGUGGUUGAAAAAGUUGGUGGUGAAAUCCCAGAGCUUAACUCUGGAACCGCCAUCAAAACUUUUCAGCUAGAGUAUGAUAGAGGAAAGCAGAAUUUCUAGUGUAGAGGUGACAGUCGUAGAUAUUAGAAAGAAUAACAACUGCGAAGGCAGCUUUCUGUAUCAUUACUGACACUGAGUAACGAAAGCAUUGGGAGAGAAGAGGAUUCGAUC
rnacentral:rRNA from 1 species